UACAGAGGGGGCAAGCGUUGUUCGGAAUUACUGGGCGUAAAGGGCGCGUAGGCGGCCUUCUAAGUCGGACGUGAAAUCCCCGGGCUCAACCCGGGAACUGCGUCCGAUACUGGAAGGCUUGAAUCCGGGAGAGGGAUGCGGAAUUCCAGGUGUAGCGGUGAAAUGCGUAGAUAUCUGGAGGAACACCGGUGGCGAAGGCGGCAUCCUGGACCGGCAUUGACGCUGAGGCGCGAAAGCCAGGGGAGCGAACAGG
rnacentral:rRNA from 1 species